GUAAAACCAAGUAUAACAAAGGGGCUACUAGGGAUGACUAGGCAAUGGAUCGGAAUGAGGUCUAAUCCAAACUGUCGAAUCCGAUCAAGGGUAUGUUAAUCAACCCGGUCUCGACGAUCAAGGCCAAAAGGUGCCUCACUUACCUUGGGAACUGAAACAUCUUAUGUACCAAGAGGAAAGGAAAUCAACCGAGACUCUACAAGUAGUGGCGAGCGAACGUAGACAAGCUUUCUCUAUCAACUUAGACAACCUCUGUUUACGUUUAUGCGUAGCAGCAGGAAAAUGGUAGCCUUCGGACAAAGACAUAAACAAUAGCUUGGAAUAGCUAGCCACAGAUGGUGAUAGCCCAGUGAUGAUAUGACUUUGCUCCCUUUUGGCAGUGAAUUUAAUUCCUUAGAGAGAAUUGGCGGCUUGUCAAGCUGCUUUUAUAAUACCCUGUCUAUUAAGGCAGGAAAGGUGUACCAUCAUCAAAGCUAAGUAUGUUCCAUUGACCGAUAGUGCAGAGUACCGUGAGGGAAUGUUGAAAAAGCAGGUAGUAAACUGGUGAAAAGCCUGAACUAGUGGCUCCAUAAGCAGCUGGAAUCACAACAGCCAUUGACUCCAACUCAAUGUGUGAUGACAGCGUACCUUUUGUAUAAUGGGUCAGCAAGAUGAUGGUGGGUGCAUGGUAAUACACCCUAGCAAAAGCGACCUUAAUUAGCCGGUGAUAGUACCAACCAUCAGACCCGAACCCAGGUGAUCUUGCCAUGGCCAAGUGCUAUUUAAUAAGACUGAACGGGUGUCCGUUGCAAGGGACUCCGAAGAGCUGUGGCAAGGGGUGAAAAGCCAAUCUAACCUGGAGAUAGCUGGUCUUCUGCGAAACCCGUUUUAGCGGGUCGCCCAUUUAUUGAAAUUAAAUUCGUUACUAGACGGUACGGCACUGGAAGCCACGCAGCUUUUGCUGCAUAAUCGGGGGGCUGUCAUGGCUCUAUCGAUGGCUUCUAACCCCGGAAAUGUAUAGUAUACAAUGAUGGGCAAUCAGACGUAUCGUGAUAAGGCGAUUCGUCAAAAGGGCAACAGCCCAGAACAGGUGUGAAGGUCCCUAACAAGCUACUGAGUGAACACAAGGCAGUCCUCUCCAGUGUCUCUCCACAAAGUGGGCUUGGGAAGCAGCCACCUUUUAGCGAUAGCGUAACAGCUCAGUGGUCUGAGCCUCCCUGUAAAAAGGGAAUAUUGCCUGGUGAGGGCGCCAAAAAUGUAACGGGUCUAUAGUAGUUGUCUCUCUGUUCCAGCUUUGGAUAUGGAGGGAGUGGCAGUUUCUUCACUGUCUCACCGAAACCCUGUCCUAGAUGUCAAAUUCUAGGGGUAGCAGAAUACCCAGCAAAUGGAAUGAAGCUUGCUCAUUGAGCCGGUGGACAUAGCUGGGCUAAGAAUGCUGACAUGAGUAGCCUAAAAGGAGGGUAAUUCCCUCUUCGCCGAAAGCAGAAGGGUUUCAUUUGUAAGGUCUAUACCUAGAUGAUUAAAGCAGCGGCCUCUAAGGUUCAGAGUAACAAAUUAGUUCCGAUGAGUAACUCUUCUAUAGGGCAGUAACCUUCCUUAUAAGUUUACCUUCAAGUAAUUAGAGGUAUACUUCAAAGAGUAAGGUUCGGGAAAGAGCCCUACAGAAUCAAUCUUAAAACCGUACCCUAAACCGACACAGGUCUGCAAGUAGAGCAUACUAAGGCGUAGAGAUAAUCGUCUUGAAGGAACUCGGCAAAAUGACCCCGUAACUUCGGGAGAAGGGGUGCCACUAAUAAGUGGCGGCACUAAACAGGGGGGCGCGACUGUUUACUUAAAACACCGGACUCUGCUAACACUAGCGUGGAUGUAUAGAGUCUGAUACCUGCCCGAUGCUAGAUGAUCAACUAAGCCGUUCUAGGAUGGCAAAGGAAGCUCUAGUCAAUGGCGGCUGUAACCUUGACGGUCUGGCUAUAUAGGGCCGUCUUAAAACUCGGCUAUAUGCUGGGAUACCAUAUUAGGUGACUAGUACAUGGUCUUUAACACCUUAGAAGUAAGUUAAGAAUUUUAGUCAGACCCUCGGGUGGCAUAGCUAGCCUUAGAGGGCCUAUGUUCUCUACACUUGUCUUAUACUUUUUGACCUGUAAUAAUCUAGUUAAUAAUGGUAAUCAGCAGGAAAAACUAGUUGAUAGUAACAAUUUCAACUCUAAGCCAAAAUUCUUUUAUGGUGCUCUGGAAGAGGUACUUGCUAUUAUCCAAGAUAAGGAAAAAAUGCAUACUUUGCUCAACAACUAGAAUCCUCAGAGACCAUAUGCCGAGCAGGACCCUUUUUAUAGUUAAAUUCACUUAGAGAAAACAAACCUUCGAAGGAAGGCUGAGAAAUAACCCUCGGGCGGCAUAGGUAGCCUUAGAGGGACAGGGUUCUUGAAGAUAUGGUCCAAUCCUUUACGAGAGUAGAGGGUAUUAAGCCUAAGGUAGCGAAAUUCCUUGGCAUUUAAAUGAUGUCCCGCAUGAAAGGUUUAACGAAGCUCCCACUGUCUCCAAGACGAGCUCGGCGAAAUUGAAUUAUCCGUGAAGAUGCGGAUUACCUCCAGCUAGACGAGAAGACCCUUUGAAGCUUGACUGCAACUAGUUAGUGUGUAACCGCUACUAAGGUACAAAGGGAGUCGACUAGACGAGAUACCUUGAUCUUUGUAGUAGGUUUCACUAUAAAUGCUGGCUAGUAGGCAGUUUGUCUGGGGCGGCAAUCCUCACCUAAAGUAACUGAGGAGUCCGAAGGUGUGCUUUGCUAGGUUGGAAACCUCUCUAUGGCUAUGGUGAGCCUAAAUAAGCGCAAUGGUAUAAGCAUGCUUGACUGUGAGACCUACAAGUCUAUCAGGUAAAACCCUUUCUAUUUACCCCUUCAUAAAUCAGGUCUCUCACGGCUAAAGUUAACCUUACCUUCUUUCUUAUUUCAUCACUUGUUAGCCUUGGUUCACAGUGCAGCGCACUUGUGGAACAAGUUUGUUUUGUUUAAAGUAGUAAAGGAAUGGAAGAAGGGGUAAUUAGGUAUAAAGGGUAUAGGUAACUAGGGCAUAGUGACCCGGUGAUACAUUAUGGAAUGUUCAUCGAUCAACGGAUAAAAGCUACUCAAGGGAUAACAGGCUGAUCCUCCACGAGAGUCCAUAUUGACUGGGGGGGUUGGCACCUCGAUGUCGGCUCAUCCUAUCCUAGAGCAGUAUAAGGUUCUAAGGGUUCGGCUGUUCGCCGAGUAAAAGGGUACGUGAGCUGGGUUAAGUACGACGCGAGUCAGUACGGCUUCUAUCUACUGGAGGGAGUUGGAAGUAAGGAGGAAGCUAUUUUUAGUACGCGAGGACUUAAAUGGAGUGACCUCUGGUUUACCAGUUAUCAACAGCUAAUAAAGCUAUGGUAUGGCUGGAAAGCUACGUCACGAAUAGAUAACUGCUGAAACCAUAUCAAGCAGGAAACUACUCCUCUAUACUUCCUUUGAAACUUAGGGUAGACCACCCUAUUGAUAGGGCCUGGGUGUAAUAGCAGUAAUGCUUUUAGCCUCGGGUUACUAAUUGUUAAGCAACUUGGUUUUAC
rnacentral:rRNA from 1 species